rnacentral:lncRNA from 1 species
UUUGUAGUAUGGAAGUUGUAAAGCUGUGUUUUAAUAGGAUUACCUUAGGAAUAAGAGGACUGCUUUUUAAAGAUACGAGAUCCCGCUGCCUUGGCAAUUCUGUUAUCAGAAAGAUAGUGAUUUUGAUACAAAACAGUAAGAAACUGUAGAAUUGCAGGACCCAUAAUCCUCACAAGGAAGAUUUAGAGAGUGCUGUGUGUCAAUCACUCAUCAGCACCUCACAGAUAUUAUCUCAAUUCGUCCUGGCAACCAUCACUGCCCCUACUUAGCAGUCUCAGAGAGGAGACUCAACUCACACAGGGGCCAAGAGCUGGACCACGGAAAUGGGACAAAACAUCCUUUCUGCCAACUGCAGGGGCAGCAGAACGCCACAGUGGUUGAGCAUGGGCUCUGGUGAAGGAUGGCGGGGGUUCAAAUCCCAGUUCUCCACCUCUCUGCUUCGCUCCGAUUCCUGGGCCUCUGAGCUGGUCUCCUCCGCUGUGGAGUAACAGUGUGACUGCUCAUCUGCACAGAUUCCUUCUGUGCUGGACACGGUUCCAACUUUCCAACUACUCCCGCAGGAGCUCAUUUAGUGGAGACAAGAUCUUGCUCAGUGUCAUAGUGAGGAAGAAAUGGAAAUAUCUGUGCAGGGCCCAAGCCCGGCCUGGUGCGGGAGAGGCAUUAAUAAACGCAGCUUGAGUUCAGAAGCAGGUGGUCUGUGGCUCACUCAGCCUGGCUUCCUGCUGGGUCUUCACAGUGCUGGGCUACCUUCCUGGAGAGAACCAAAGUCCAGGCUGUGUAGAUGCCUGUGGUCCACCAGCGCAAAGCAGCGGCCCAUCAGGACGCUUCGGAGGUAGAUGCGUCUGAGUUCCAUGACAUCGGGGACAUGGCCCCACUCCUGUUCUGGAGGUCACGGGCCUGCUGAACCUCUUGUACCAGGUCAGCCACCAGGUUCAUCUGGCAGGACCUGAGAGCCCCCACCAGGUGGGCCACUGUUGCGUUCUCCUUCUCUGUGUUCUUCCAGAUUCUCAGUGACUCCCGCACACGCUCUGUCAGGUUGCGGGGGUAUCUGUCCUCGAUGCUGUCGAUCUUGGUGUCUGAGACUUUGAGCUGACGAGCCAGCCUUCUCCAAUCUUUCCCCACAUUAUCACAUAUGACGUUAAAUGCUGCACACAGGUCUGGGAAGGAAAGAACAGAACGGUUUACCAUAGGUUUGGAGACAAGCGACCCCACAAUCCUCCCUAGGGCUUUUCAGCACAGACGCCAAGUGCUGAGUGGACAGAGGUGCCUACACGAGGUCCUCUGUAGAGGCUAGAGUCGCCUGGCAGCAAAGGGGCUGCACCAAAUGCCCAAGAGUGGCCUGAUUCCACCUCAGCCAAACCCCCUGCUCUCUAAUACUGUCCUAGGAGGCGUGGCCCACUGAAGACUCAAGUGCCAAAGGAAGUUGUAGUGGAGCUACCUACUUAGAGCAGGAGACACUGAGGGAGGGGCUGGGGAGUUGUGGGAGGGAAGAAAAUAGGGUUGAUCCCACAUCCUGCCCUACAGCAGGCUGAACGAUGUCACCCCAAGGUAUGUUCACGUGAAAUUGCUGAAACCAUGAAUGUUCUUUGGAAAAAGCAUCUUUGCAAAGGUAAGCUGAGGGUCUUGAGAGGAGAUCAUCCUGGAUGACCUGGAUGCACCAAUGAUAGGUAUCCUUGCAGGAGACACACAGGGAAGGCCGUGUGAGCCUGGAGUGAAGCGGCCACAAGUCAAAGAAUGCCUGGAGCCACCACAAAGCGGACGAGACCCGGAAGGAGCCUCCCCAACAGCAUUCCGAGGGUGUGCCGGUCUGUGGCACCCUGCUUAUUCAGAUUUCUGGCCUCCAGAUUGAGGGGGUAGAUUUCUAUUGCUUCAGGCCACCAGAUUUGUGAUCAUUUGUUAUGGCAAUCACAGGAAACUAGUAGGCACUCCAAUUGUUAUUUAGAAAGCUGCCCCGAGUGACCACCAGUCUUCAGUCCCUGGCUACCAUACUCCUCAUCUGCUGACGUCACCACUGAGAUCAGGGAGCUGGUCACAAGACCAUAAAAGGCCGCUUCUGGAAUGUGAAGAGAGGAAAGGAGAGGCAGGACAGGGUGCUGCUUGGACUACUGGCAAUUCUGAGACACCGUUGGCAGGUGUACCAGCUCCCGCAGCUCUGACAGCCCUGUGGGCUGGGCACUGUGUUACCAUGACUGUACAGAUGAGGAAAUUGAGGCACAGGGAAGCUAAUGGACAUUCCUGAGAUCGUGUAGCUAGACGAUGGCAGAGCCAUGUUCUGAAACCCUAAGAGUGUGGUGCCAGAGUCGACCCUUAACCGCUAUGCUGAACUUCUGGGGAGGAAGGCAGAGUCGCCCGCUACCAACCUGUCCAUACCCACCGCUCACCUUCUGGUGUACUUUUCCCAGCACACAGUAACUACAUGACGAUAUAAAUAAAACCAAGCACACAUACAUCUCAAAUGUCAGCUAUGUUUCGUAGACCGCCUUUAAAAUGCAAUUUAUCAGUGUUUUUCCAGACAUUAAAUAUCCAUAAAACCCGAUUUUUCUACGUCCUGUUUUGUUUGUUCAGUACUGAUUUUUUUUAAAAUCUGGACUUGACUGCUCUCAGGCAGAGAGCUGUUCUGUCCAUCCUGUCCCCAACAGGCACCAGUCUUUACAGAGUGAAACCCAUGGUGACACAUUUAGGCCCUAUCUGAUUGGUGACUGAAUGGCUGAUUCCAAGCUACAGCUUGAAGCCUCUGAGAGGCGUCCCCAGAGCACUCCCAAGCCUCUCCCGACUCUGAGAACAAGGGGGGUAGGGCUGAGAAACUCUGCUGUACUCAGGGUUUCUUUUUUAUCCUGGAAGCUGCUGCAAUCCACAGGCGAGGGUGGAGAGGGAGUGACCGAGAGCAGGACAGGAAGCCACUCCACAAUGAACUUGACCAGAGAGGCAGUGUAGUGGCUAACACUACCCAUCCGGAGGCCGGACUGCUUGGCUCAAGCCUAGCUCCGUCAGUUAUCGGCUGCGCAUUUCGACAAAGCCACUUAACCUGUGAGCCACAGUCCUGUCCUCUGUAAAAUGGGAACAGUGAUAGCUAACAGUAUCUAAGCCACAGGGCUACUGCGAAAAUUGUAUUUGGCAGUUACAAGGGUAAGCGGCACACUGUAAGCCCCUGGGUAGGAGUUACUGAAUGCUAGUAUUACUCUCAGACAGCCGUGAAAAGCAUAUUCCGAGACAGAAAGGAAAUGAUGCGAGGCAGGCUCACCCAACCUCUGCCCCUCCCCCACACCUUCUCUGACUCAUCUUUUCUUCAGUGAGUUUUCUAAUUUACCCGGGCAGAAGUGGGUGGAGGAAAAAGGACUGUGCGUGUCCACGCCCUGCAACCUCGAAUAAGUUAACUUUUCUGCGUUUCUGGCUCUCCCAUCUGCAAAACCAGGGCUGUACGGAGAAAACCCACGCAAAUCAAACCCGGCAAAGGGGAGGCGCCUGGAGGCCAACCGGAGGAGCCUCGCAGCACCUACAGCCGGGCGACCAGGCCCUGGCUCCCCCGGCCCGGCCCCGCGCCCACCUUCUUCCCCAGGCGCGGCCCCGGCCGCCGCCCCCGCCUCGAAGUCGUCGACGCGCCGCAGCAGGUCGUGGCGCCGCAGGGAGGCGAGCAGCUCGCGCAGGAGCUCGGUGUGCCCGGGCUCCAGGUCGUUCUGCUCCAGCAGCAUGGAGAAGAGGUCUAGGCCGCUCUGCACGCGCUCCAGCUUGCGCUUGCCCACGCGCCCGAGGCAUAGGAACUUGAGCUCGGUCAGCUCGCUGCUCGACAGGCUGGACGACACCGAGUGCAGCAGCACCAGGAACGGGUCCAUGGCGGGGUCUGCAAGCGGCCGGGGCUGCGGCCCGGCCCUCCGUGCGCCCUCUGUCCUCGGCUCGCUGGCCCUGGCCAGGUCUCGCCGCUUGCCCAGCGGCCCAAGGAUUCCACCCCCGAACCUGCACUCCGGUGCCUGAUUCACUACAGGAAAUCGACAAGAGCGCGUUUUCGACCGUUAUCUCGCGAAAACUAAGGGACCCGCGCAUGCGUCCCUAGCGAAGCCGCAGCCGUUUCCGCCCUGGCUGGCGGCGCCGCGGACGGGCGCGGCUUCUGCGCCUGCGCCCGGCGUAUCGUCUCUUUUCCGGGUGGGAGGUGGGGCCUUGGGUGUCCUGAGAGCCUGCAGGUGGCCCAGCUCUCUGCGGUGAGGGCGGUCGCGCCUCUGCCGAGUCCACCUGUUUGCAAAGCGCGGUGCGGCCCUACUGUGUGCAGGGCCGGGGCGGGGAGGGCGCAGCCCGAACGUCACGUGCCCUCACAUCUGUUGGUGACCAAGGUUACUUAUGCAUUAACGUUUAGGGACAAACGUGGAAAAUGCAUUCUUUGGUGCCCCUGGAGACAUCUUGUGUGUGCAGAAAACACUACUCAGAAGUUUAUGUGCGUUUAAACAUGUGAUUUAAAUAAUACAUGAUUUCCAAAGUA